rnacentral:piRNA from 1 species
UGGUCUUAGAGGAACUGGAUCCAGGA